GACGAACGCUGGCGGCGUGCUUAACACAUGCAAGUCGAACGGAAAGGCCCUGCGUUUGUGGGGUGCUCGAUUGGCGGACGGGGGAGUAACACGUGAGUAACCUGCCCUUGACUUUGGGAUAGCUUCAGGAAACUGGGGCUAAUACCGGAUAGCAGCUCCUGCUGCAUGGAGGGGGUUGGAACGUUUCGGCUGGUGGGGAUGGACGCGCGGCUUAUCAGCUUGUUGGUGGGGUAGUGGCUUACCAAGGCUUGGACGGGUAGCCGGCCUGAGAGGGUGACCGGCCACAUUGGGACUGAGAUACGGCCCAGACUCCUACGGGAGGCAGCAGUGGGGAAUAUUGCACAAUGGGAGCAAGCCUGUGGCAGCAGCGCCGCGUGCGGGAUGACGGCCUUCGGGUUGUAAACCGCAUUAGCCUGUGACGAAGCGUGAGUGACGGUAAUGGGUAAAGAAGCACCGGCUAACUACGUG
rnacentral:rRNA from 1 species